rnacentral:rRNA from 1 species
GACGUAGGGGGCCAGCGUUGUUCGGAAUUACUGGGUGUAAAGGGUUCGUAGGCGGUGUGGCAAGUCGGGAGUGAAAUCUCUGGGCUCAACCCAGAGUCUGCUUCCGAAACUGCUGUGCUUGAGUGUGGGAGAGGCGCGUGGAAUUGCGAGGUGUAGCGGUGAAAUGCGUAGAUAUCUGCAGGAACACCCGUGGCGAAAGCGGCGCGCUGGACCG